rnacentral:lncRNA from 1 species
AUACACAAAAAUGUUGCUGGAAGUAAUAUCUUAUGAGCUAUCUGCUCAUGCUGUUUUCUUUCACAGAAUUUUAAGUUUGGAAAUUAGACAUUUAUUUUUUAAAAAAUCAAAAUACCCACCAAGGAGGAGUACUGUAUCAGUUCACAGUUGAUAGCUGUUUUCUAAACCAUUGUGGUAGGGCUAGUUCAACACUCAGGAAUUAGAAUUGGAUCAGAAAGAGAAUCUAUGCAUGUUCCUUUAGUCUGGAGACUUGUUUCCCCUCAUGUUCUCUGGGAAAUUCCUACAAAGGACCCUUUUGUCAUGUUUCCUCAACAGGAAAUAUUUUGUGCUUCUGGUUCUAUCUUUUACAUAGCUUUGUACAUGGUGGACAAUAAAUAUUACAUGGAUACAUAAAUACCACAAAAAUCUCAACAAAAGCCAUGAAGCCAUUCUUAUAGUGUAUUUCUAAUGUUACUAUUCCUCUUAGUACUUGAUAGAAUGCUAAGCAUCAGGCAUGAACACAGCCAAUCUUAAUUGAUGUUGAUACUACUCACAGCUAUUGGGAAUAAUUUAAAAUGUACAUUUGUGGUCAAUUAACAUAUUCAUGAGAACUCAGAUAUUUAAUAGAGCUAAUAAAAAAACAAAACCUAUUAGAAUAUUUAGAAAUCAAAAGAAUGGUAGAAAAGCUUUUUAUAAUAUUCUUCUAAAAUAUUAUGUUGUGUAUUUUAUAUUUUCAAAAAGUUAAUUUCUGUGUUUCAUUGACAAAUAUUAGAUUGAUACAUAAAUUGCAUGAGUUGAUACUUUCUUUGAUGCCUGCCUUAUUUAUCAUGUACUCAUGGUAUUCAGCACAUGGAAUUUUCUUCACAAAAAUUGGUUGAAUAGCUUGAAUUUUGUAACUUCCUUUAUGGAUGUUUAAGUUAUACAAAUCGUAUUUCCAGCAGAAUUGAAGAAUUUUUAAAUGUUAGAGAGGUUUCCAGUACCAAAGUUUUAAAAAAACUUUUUUUGCUGAAAAUCUUUUCUUAGGCUCAGGCUCCUCAGUUUUCAAAUGUGGUUGAUUUUAAUUAAAGUUUAAAGAGAAAAAGAAACCAUUGGAAAGAUAUUGGAACUAAAUAAUUCACUUCUGGUGAGUAGGGAGUUUGCAGUUUGAGUUAAUGGUAUUCAUUACACUGAUUAAAAGCAGUGAGCCAUUUUACCCUUGUUUAUUUUCCAAACCAGUGUUUUCAGUAAUGGGGGUGGUUGGUAUUUGAUGUUUUAUCUGAUGAGGUAUUUACUGAUGGGCUGCUUUGACUUCUCUAUUUAAAUUGAUAACCACUUGAAAGGAACUUAUCAGACAAAAGAACAACUUCUUUUCUAGAGCUGGACCAUUUAUUCCAAGUUUAGACAGUGGGAAAACAAUUGAGUAGCUUUUAUUGCCACCAGCUGUGCUACGGUUAUUUGAACAAAUGGAAGAUUAAAGGAAAUGUACAAUCUCAUUGUAUACAGCAUUACCCCAAAUCAGGGAUUCUUUUGCCUAAUAAAUAUUGCAUUUGUAGUUGAGGAACUUAUAAUUACUCGGAUUUCAAUUGCUAUGAAGAGUUUGCUGCUCUUUGAAGGCUCAUGUGGGUCUAUCAAAAAUUGAAUCUUCUAGAAUUUCAGAGAAGGUAAUGCUACAGGGUUUGUAGCAACUUUAUGAUUGUCUUGCAGAUGUUUGUAUUUAUCUAUACAUAUUAUAUAUGCUAUAUAUUAGUUUAUAUAUUUUAUAUUAUUUUACAUAAUAUAUACAUAUUAUUUAUAACAUAUAUAGUAUGUUUACAGCAAUUAUAUAUCCACAUACCACACACACACACACACACACACACACAUACACACUUCAAAAUAAACAACUUGAAAAAUAAAACGAACCUUCUAAACUUUGAAAAAUUACAUCUCUCAUUAAGGAAUUCCAGUGAUUAAUAUCAUUUGGCUAGUCCAGGGCUUUGGAAAAAAUGAGAAGUGGGUGUUUAAAUGUUUUAAGAGGUAAUUUUCCAAGCAAUUGAGCAGGUAGUUAAAAAUACCUUGUUUUCAUUUUCUUGCCUGAGACAAUCCUAAACUGUAAAGGUUUGAAAGAGAGUAGAAGAAGCCACAUUGAACUGAGUCUGAAGUCUAUGCUCCAGAUGUAAAAUCCUCAUACUUGCCAGGCUUCAGGGUUCACUGAUCAGUAGAUGCAGUCAUUAUAUUUGAAAUGUGGGUAUGGAAACUGGGAUUGGCUCCUUCUGGUUGGGCCAUGCUGUUAACCUAAAUAUGUAGUUUCAUGGAGAUUGUUGGUAUACCUCUCCACUGUUACAACUUACUAAAUGUUAUUGUUGAGGAGAGGUGAACUCUUGAGUGUGAUGGAGCUGGACAGACCAUACAAAAGGGCUACAACAGGGUUUCUGAACCUCAGCUUACUUUUCGUAUUGACCUUUUGGGCUUGAUAAUUCUUUGUUGUGGUGGCUAGUUAUGUGCACUACAGGAUGUUCAGCAGCAUCUUUGGCCUCUACUCACUACAUGCCAGUUGUGCUUUCGCACCCCAUUGUAACAACCAAACAUGUGUCCAAGAGUUGCCAGAUGUCCUCUGCAAGGCAAAAUUGUUCCAGUUGAAAAUGACUGUGAUGGACAAUGAGCUCCUGGGCAGUGUUUUUGAUUCGUACUCAUCUCUGCAUCCUCUGUGCUUAUGAAAAGGCCUGGCAUAGAUUUGGACUUCAGUAAAUGUUUGCAUACAUUUUUUUAAAUAGGUGAUUUAGGGAAGAAAGGUGGUUUAUCUAUCACUUUUUCUGCUUUUGAGUUCCUAUAUUAUCAGUAGAACAGGAUAAAAUAAGGCUCGAUGCUGCAUUAUUUUUAGAGAGCAAAUAGAGUUGGAAAUAUAACUGAAUGCCUACUAAUGUAAUAAAUAGCCAAGUCAGUAUGAUGCAUUUUUAAUUUUUCUGUAGAAUAUUAUACAUUCAUAAAAUAGGUCAUCUACCAAAUCUUUUAAAUGACAUUGUUUUUAUAAGAAGUAGGUUAUAAACCUAAAGAAUGAUUUAUUUUGAAUAUAUAUGUAAUACACAUAUAUGUAAAUAUAUUAUUUUUGGUGAAGAAAAAUAAGGGAAAUGCUAAAUUACUAGUUGUGGUUGCUUCUGGCAUUAUGCUUAGAUUUUAUGCGAACCUUCUGAAUCAUUAUUGAAAAAUGCCUUCUUUUCCUUUGGUCUUUAGAAAAGCCAAAUAAAACAGAAAACAGCUAAGUCUGAGUGCAUUAUAUAUCAUCAUUCUCAGUGGCAUUUUGUUCAAUUUUUAGUGAAACAACAAAAGUAAAUUACAAGCUUUACUUACUUUUUUUGAAAUUAAGUUACCCAGAUUUUCUUGUAAUUAUUUGAUUUAGCAAGAACAAAUGUAGCAUUAACAUUGAUUUGGUAUACCAAGCAUAAUCUGGAAGGAAUACUUAGUGUCUUGAAUAAUUAUAUGGAAAUUCCUUAAAAUGUUCAAGAAAUAAUUUCUACAAAGUUUGAAUUGCAAACAUCACUAUGUACUUAUUGAUCAUCUCUCACCAUUUUUACUUGCCAUUGUCUUAUGGUAAAAUUUUCUUGUAGAAUUUAUAAUUAGGGGCAGAAAUUUAGAUGCUGAAUGUGUACAGUGUAUGAUUUUAAAAGAAUUAAACAAUCUGAAUUAUUAGAGUUUCAUAAAUGUGACUGUAUACCUGCAUGUAUACAUGGGUGUAAUUCUCAGAUUUAUAUACAAUAAUGCCCAAUAGUAUAUUUAUGGUUUACCAUCAUUAUAGAAUUUUAUUUCUCAUGUAAACCAUUUUCAGAUAAAGUAGUGCAUCUGCUGAACAAUGACUGGGCCUCAAAUGAUGUUUUUGUUUUGCCACCAAAAAGUCUGAUUUGGAUUAUGUUGAAUUUUGGAAAUGUGAAUUUUAGUAACGCAAAAAUUGUUAAAGAAUAGCAGUAUUGCAAAUGUUUAUUUUCUUGUAAGAUUAGUGCUAGCUAUACUAACAUUUAUAGUUAUCAUAUUCAGAUCAAACAUUUCCAGUUAAGAGAAGCAUUAUUUAAAAACCUUAGCAGUUUGGAUGGGUGCUUUUCACAUCUGGAAAGUAACACACCUUUCAGUCUCCUGAUUAUAUGUUAACUUUAUAAACAUAUCAAUUCUGUCUUCAUAGGAACAUGGUUAAAUAUAUAUGUAUUUUAAAAUAUUAAAUAUGUACACAUAUAUUUAAAAUAUUAAAUAUUAAGUGUGUAUAUAUAUGUGUUAUAGUAAAACUCCUUCAGUCAGUGAGAUGUAGGGAUCAUUUUUUUCCUACAAUAAAUAAUUUUAGCCCUUUAUUCUGAAUCAGAUUUUUAAAAAAAUGUUUAAGUCUUUUUCUCCCUUGGUUUUAGCUUUCUCUUCCUGAUGUUUUCAGGAAUAUUGUCUUCUGCAAACCUUUCUGCCCUACCUUAGUUUCUUUUGAAAUUGAUCUCUAAAACUUUAGUUAAUUCUUGUCUGAAUUUCUUCCCUAUGUUAAAUUAAUCUCACCUUAGUUGAAAUUAAAACAAAAUAAUGCCCAAUAGCAUAUUUAUGGUUUACCAUCAUUAUAGAAUUUUAUUUCUCAUGUAAACAUCACAACAUUUUGUCAUUCAUUUAUUCAUAAUCAGAAUAUAGGGAGCACUAAAUGUAUAAUGAACUCUGGAUACAAAGAUCAAGAAGAUGCAUUUUCAUAGUUAUAAAAUAUAAAGAUGCCACAUGCAAAAAAGGAAACUAGGAAUAAAGUUAAUACAAGAUAAAAAUAUCUUUGUGUACAAAGAUGAUCUUUUUUAAAAGAUUUUAUUUAUUUAUUUAUUCAUGAGAGACACAGGGCGAGAGACAGAGACAUAGGCAGAGGGAGAAGCAGGCUCCAUGCAGGGAGCCCAAUGUGGGGCCGGGAUCACGUGCUGAGCCAAAGGCAGAUGCCCAGCCUGCUGAGCCACCCAAGUGUCCCAAAGAUGAUCUUUAAUGAAAGCCAUUUGGGAAGAUUUAAGUAAAUAGAGAAAGAUACUAUUAUUAUGAAUUGAAAUAUUCCAUGUUACUAAGUUGUUAAUUCUCCUCAAAUUGAGUUAUGGAAUUCUAAUUGAGUACCCAAUAGAAUUUUUUAUGGAAUUCAACAAGCUAAUUCUCAGGUAUUUAUUUAUUUAUUUAUUUAUUUAUUUAUUUAUUUAUUUAUUUAUUUAUAUUUUUAAAGAUUUUAUUUACUUAUUCAUGAGAUACACAGAGAGAGGGAGAGAGAGGCAGAGACACAGGCAGAGGGAGAAGCAGGGUCCAUGCAGGAAGCUUGACGUGGAAUUCGAUCCCGGGACUCCGGGAUCACACCCUGGGCUGAAGGUGGCGCUAAACCGCUGAGCCACCUGGGCUGCCCCUAAUUCUCAGAUUUAUAUGCAAGAGUAAAAGGUCAAGGAAAGAAAAGACAAUAAUGAAUAAAAAGAAAAAAUGGGAAGAAUGGCAUUAUAACAUACAUAGAUAGACUUCUUAUAAAAUCAUGAUAUUGUACAUUAUUCAUAGCCAAAUGGAUUAGACUGCAUAGCCAAGAAGGCACCAGUUUAUACAUGGAAACCAGAAAUAUGACAGAAGUAGCAAUGUUGAUCAUCAAAAGGGAGAAGUUAUUUGAUAAAUGGCACUGGAACAGAAACGUGAAUUGUAUCCCUACCUCAUAAAAGCACAAAAGCAAUUUCAGAUGAAUUAAGCAUAUGCAUUUAAAUGAAAAUUGGAAAUUAUGAUAUAGAGGGUGAAAGAAUUUUCUAAGCUAAACAUAAACACUACUUUGAGGGAAAGGAUUGAUAAUUAUGAACAAUAAUUAUGAAUAUUAAAUUUAAAAUUUGUACAAUGAAAGAGAAAAGUCAGACUGGGGAAGGUUAAUGUGUAACAUAAAUAUGACAAAGGAUUAGCAUAUAAGAUAUCAAAAAGAAAAGUAACCCAGAGCAGACAGGACAAAUAAGAAUAGCCAAUUUUGAUAAAAUGAAAUCUAAAUGGCCACUAAACAGUUAAAAUAAUCAGGGAAAUUAAAAUUGAAGCUACAAGUGUUAAACAAUUGCAUAUACCCAUCAAUCUGACGAAAUAAUAAAGUUUCACAACACCAAGUAUUGGUGAGGAUGUGGAGUAGUAGGCAAUUUCACCACACUGAGGAGAAAUGUAGAUUAGUACCACUAAAGAGAGCAGUAUAUUUGUGCAUAUGUAGUCAAGUUGUGCACCUUCUAAGUGUCCACCCAGAAAUUCCACUGGGAGGUAUAAUACCACAGAGAUACCCCUGUGUACACAAUGUGACAUGUGCAGAAAUGUUUAUUUCAGCAUUGUUCAUAAUACUGAAAAACUGGAAUCAAACCAAAUAUCCACCAAUAGGAAAAUAGGAUAAAAAGUAUAGGUAUUUUCAUGCGAUGGAAUAUUACGUGGCUUUGAUAAUGAAUUAGCUAGGCAUAUAUAAUCAUAUAAUUUCAAAAAUAUGUUUACACUGCUCUAUUGUUUAAGUUUACAGACGUACAAAAAACAAUCAAAGGCAUGCUUACUAGUGACUAGUACUAAAUUCUCUCUGAAACUUGAAAUGGAAUUAAUGAGAGGCCACGGGUAGCUAUGGAAUGGCUAACUUGUAGCAUAAAGCAAAGGGAGCUUACCCAAGAGCAGGUGUGGACCGUGGCACAAUAAUUCCUCUAACAGUACUUUUUAAAUUCUUGUAUGGGAACUUAGCAGAACACAAAAUCCUCUCCUGUUUUACAAAUACUCUUUUGAAUUUCUUGGAUAAUGCAUUCAGCGUGUAUCAAGCUUCUUGAUGUUAUUUUAACAUGUCUUUCUGUAAUUGUUUUUUAAGUGUGGUACUUGAGUUUUCAGGACUGUUCUGAAUUGUGAUUGAUCAUUGUACAUGCAUUUUGAAUAGGGACAUCUGUCUCUGCAGCAUAUUAUGUCUCCUGACAUGCCAUUUCUCAGCUUGACAGAGCACCUCUAGAGGGCAUAGGUUUUAAUAAGAGAGAAUAUGUGAUUUUUUUCUUCCAUAGAAAGUGGGUGGUGUUACAUUUUAUAAAGAAAUAAUGAAUAGUUGGAGUGACAGCUUACCCAAUUUACUUUUUUUUUGCGAGCCAAAUAUAAAACUAGAAAUAAUGCUUAUUCAUUUUAGCCUUUAUAAGAUUCCCUUCAGAAAAUUUUUACAGGAGAAUAUUUACUGAGUUUGCUCAUAGUCAUAGCAGACAGUGACAAAAGUGGCUUCUUUGUCUUUUUCUCUUAAAUUUUUCUUUUUGUAUCCUUCUUCUUUUUCUUCUAUACCCUAAAUGUCUUCUUGCAUUCUAUCAUACGUGCCAACUUACAUUUUAAAACAUGUUGGAACGUUGUAAUUUUAAAGAAACAUGUUAUGGUUUUUUAUUACUAAUUUUAAAUCCAUUUUGAUACUAGUACUACAGUCAUUCAGUAAUCAUAGCACAGUUCUAAAAAAAAAAAAAAAA